GUGUAGAGGGAUGAGGUAGGUCCCUGCGGCGGUGGAGGGAUGUGCGGGCGGGCUAGGAUUCUGUGGUUGAGUCUGUGGCCUCUGGAGCCGCGAGUUUGAAUCCUGGUUGCAGCUCUUCCACUUACUAGCUGUGUGGCCAUGGAUAAGGUGCCCAUCCUCAGUUUCUCCGUCUGCAAAAUGAAAACGACUCUUUAGUGUUGUUGUGGACCCAUGAGAUGACGCAUGGAAGCAAGGGCGCAGUCGCUGUAGCUUUCUUUAUUUAAGAGAGAAAAGGAGCUGCCCAGGAGGAAAUGGAAGGACCAUCAAGAGAAAGGUAGUUGCUGGCUUGAAAGGAUCAUCUGUGCAACAGGCAGCUAAUCAGAAGAAGACCUUAUAAAUACUUUUGAUACCACCCACACUGUUCCUAUUAUUCCCCGCCACUCCAUCGGCUUAAUGAACUCUUACUCAUCCUUCAAAACCCAGCUUAAACAUGACCUUCAGGAAAUCUUCGGCUGGCUUCCCAGGACAGAGUGGGUCAGUCCUCUGCAUGCUCCUGCUGCUGUGCUGUAUUCACCACACUGUACUGUAAUUUACUGGUUUAUAAGUCAGUUCUGCUGCUGGGUUGUGAGCUCCUCCAAGGCAGGAGCUUUGCCAUAUCUACCUAUGCUCCCAGGACUUGCACAGUGCCUGAUGUGUAGGAGGUAGCCCCUGAAUGUUUAAUAUAAUUAGAAGGAGCAUAUCAGGUAAAUUAGCAGAGCAAACUGUGGGAUGCAGGAUGUCAGACAAUAGGGGUAGGUGGGCUUAUGGGAGCUGAAGAGCGCAUGCUCCUCACCUCUAGUUGAUUGCUCUGUGCGAUAGGGGCCCAGUGGUGGUGGAUCUAACAACUUUUUAAGAGAUUCUGAAAAUUCAGACUGACUUGUUGAAUAUUCCGGAUUUUCAACAUUAGCAACUAAUUCCAUUUGGGGAAAAAAAUGUAGCAUGGGUCUGCAGACAAGAUCUGGCUAUAAUUCAUGUUCAGAGGUAAUCAGGAAACGAUUAGUUGACUGAAAAUGUAGUUGACAAUCAGAUGGAUGCUAGGUUGCCAAUAAAAUGUGUUGAGUGGAAUUCACAUGCCCCAGAAAGCUCGUCCUGGUGCUGUGGGCCAGGAACAGGGCCCAAGUGUGGGAAGAAGGAUCCAGGAGGCAGAGCCUACUCUCCCACUGCUGCUGGAGCCACUCUUGCUUGAGCUGAAGUACUGUGGACUCUUUUGCAGCCUUUCCUGGUAUUGCUCAAACUGAGCCGCCCUUGAUAUUGUGCCUCUCAGAAUGAUGGAUUAAAUGUUAUUGUUUCCUUACAUUCCAUAGGCAUCAGAUAUCAACUGUCGUUGUGAAACACAUUACAAUGUAAGAGAUUUGAUAUUGUCCUAACAGUGUUAGUCUCUGGUGGCUAUACUGAGCUCUUCUGGUUUAGAGGUGAAACAACCCAGAGAAAGGAUUUAUUUAUGUAUUCAUUUUUGGUCUGAAGACCAAAAAGGAUGUUUACAAGAUAUUAACAGUAACAAUUUAUUCAACACCUGUUUUUAAAGCACCUGCUAUAUGGUAACUGCUACAGAUACAGUGAUGGUGAAAGCACAGUUAGCUCAGUGUUAUUUUAGAAGCUUUUACUUUGUGCUUCCUCGAUUUAUAUUUUCUGUACUGAUCGUGCAUAAUUUUUUACAAUCAUUAAAAGAACAAGAAAGCAA